rnacentral:ncRNA from 18 species
UUGACGUACUCGCCCACUGGUUCCUAUCGUCACUACUGCGUGGGAUCAGCAGGAACCUGGUGAAACUCCGGGACGGUCGCGCCACUGUGACCAGACCACAUGCGGUCUGGGAGUCAGACACUGCCCCUCCGCACCCUAACCAUG